AUUGAACGCUGGCGGCAGGCCUAACACAUGCAAGUCGAGCGGGGUUUUCGGACCUAGCGGCGGACGGGUGAGUAAUGCGUAGGAAGCUACCCGAUAGAGGGGGAUACCAGUUGGAAACGACUGUUAAUACCGCAUAAUGUCUACGGACCAAAGUGUGGGACCUUCAGGCCACAUGCUAUCGGAUGCGCCUACGUGGGAUUAGCUAGUUGGUGAGGUAAUGGCUCGCCAAGGCGACGAUCCCUAGCUGGUUUGAGAGGAUGAUCAGCCACACUGGAACGGAGACACGGUCCAGAGUCCUACGGGAGGCAGCAGUGGGGAAUAUUGGACAAUGGGCGCAAGCCCGAUCCAGCCAUGCCGCGUGUGUGAAGAAGGCCUUCGGGUUGUAAAGCACUUUCAGUAGGGAGGAAGCGUUGAGUGUUAAUAGUACUCAGCGUUGACGUUACCUACAGAAGAAGCACCGGCUAACUCUGUGCCAGCAGCCGCCGCAGUAA
rnacentral:rRNA from 1 species